rnacentral:rRNA from 1 species
GACGAACGCUGGCGGCGUGCUUAACACAUGCAAGUCGAACGGAAAGGCCCCUUUGGGGGUACUCGAGUGGCGAACGGGUGAGUAACACGUGAGUAACCUGCCCUUGACUUCGGGAUAACUUCAGGAAACUGGGGCUAAUACCGGAUAGGAAUCCUUGCUGCAUGGUGGGGGUUGGAAAGCUUCGGCGGUUUUGGAUGGACUCGCGGCUUAUCAGCUUGUUGGUGGGGUAGUGGCUUACCAAGGCUUUGACGGGUAGCCGGCCUGAGAGGGCGACCGGCCACAUUGGGACUGAGAUACGGCCCAGACUCCUACGGGAGGCAGCAGGGGGGAAUAUUGCACAAUGGGCGGAAGCCUUAUGCAGCAACGCCGCGUGCGGGAUGACGGCCUUCGGGUUGUAAACCGCUUUCAGCAGGGGCGAAGCUUGUGGUGACGGUACCUGCAGAAGAAGCACCGGCUAACUACGUG